AUUGAACGCUGGCGGCAUGCCUUACACAUGCAAGUCGAACGGCAGCACGGGAGCUUGCUCCUGGUGGCGAGUGGCGAACGGGUGAGUAAAGCAUCGGAACGUGCCCUAAAGUGGGGGAUAACGUAGCGAAAGUUACGCUAAUACCGCAUAUUCUGUGAGCAGGAAAGCAGGGGAUCUUCGGACCUUGUGCUUUAGGAGCGGCCGAUGUCGGAUUAGCUAGUUGGUGAGGUAAAGGCUCACCAAGGCGACGAUCCGUAGCGGGUCUGAGAGGAUGAUCCGCCACACUGGGACUGAGACACGGCCCAGACUCCUACGGGAGGCAGCAGUGGGGAAUUUUGGACAAUGGGCGCAAGCCUGAUCCAGCCAUGCCGCGUGAGUGAAGAAGGCCUUCGGGUUGUAAAGCUCUUUCGGCGGGGAAGAAAUUGCACUCUCUAAUACAGGGUGUAGAUGACGGUACCCGCAUAAGAAGCACCGGCUAACUACGUGCCAGCAGCCGCGGUAAGAC
rnacentral:rRNA from 1 species